UCAAUCCCAAACCCGUUACAGGACAAGGGAGAACUACAAUGAACAUUCUCAGUACGUUCUGGAACCCAACAAGUUGCUGGCUGUAAUUAAUGUUUCAGAGGAUACACCCACAAAAGGCUUAAGAAGUGGAGCAAAUCUCUUUAUUCAGGAGAAGGAACGAAGGGAACGGGAAAGCUGUCAUCACUCUCUUGUAUACGCUCAAACCAAAGUGAAGUGCAAAGGCUGAAACAGGCUGUGCCUGCUGUCUCUGCUGGCCCCGGUGCCAGCCCUGUGCAGCAGACGGAUGGAUGUGUGCAAUGGGGCUGCCGUGCCCCCCGAUGGCACUACGGCUCCUUCGUCUGAGGCAAGCUGUCAUUUAAAGCCAAGGACUCCACCCUCUAUUCAGAAAUGCCUGAGUUUGUGCUGGAGGAAGGAAGCUGAGGAUUUGCCAAUAAAAGUGCAGCAUGAAGGAUGGAAAAGAUGGUUCUUUUGAUACACAGCUGUCCUGCUGCAAUCAAAAUGUCCAAACAUCACACCCAUGCUGCACAAACGUCAGUUAACGAGCAGCACGUUUCCCAUGUCACCAUCUGCUGAUGUUCUGGAUGGAGCAACGUGUUCAGUGGUGCCUAGAUAAGCAUCUGCCAUUGCCAAAAACACCACUUUUUUUUUUUUUAACUGGCUCUCAAAACAACCAUUUGCAAAAAUCCAUAGGAACAACAGCAGCAACAUCAAAAAAAGAAAAAAAAAGUGUGCAAUCAGUACUUGCUUUUCAUACAGA